rnacentral:rRNA from 1 species
CUACGGGACGCUGCAGUGAGGAAUAUUGCACAAUGGGGGGAACCCUGAUGCAGCAACGCCGCGUGGAGGAUGACGCAUUUCGGUGUGUAAACUCCUUUUAUAUGUCAAGAAAAUGACGGUAGCAUAUGAAUAAGCACCGGCUAACAUCCGUGCCAGCAGCCGCGGUAAUACGGAGGGUGCAAGCGUUACUCGGAACCACUGGGCGUAAAGGACGCGUAGGCGGGUUGGAAAGUCAGGUGUGAAAUCCUACAGCUUAACUGUAGAACUGCACUUGAAACUUCUAAUCUAGAGUAUGGGAGGGGGAGAUGGAAUUAGUGGUGUAGGGGUAAAAUCCGUAGAUAUCACUAGGAAUACCUAAAGCGAAGGCGAUCUCCUGGAACAUUACUGACGCUAAGGCGUGAAAGCGUGGGGAGCAAACAGGAUUAGAUACCCUCGUAGUC